CAGCCGCCGCGGUAAUACGUAGGGUGCGAGCGUUAAUCGGAUUUACUGGGCGUAAAGCGUGCGCAGGCGGCCCGUUAAGACAGGUGUGAAAUCCCUGGGCUCAACCUAGGAAUUGCGCUUGUGACUGGCGGGCUCGAGUACGGUAGAGGGGGGUGGAAUUCCUGGUGUAGCAGUGAAAUGCGUAGAGAUCAGGAGGAACACCGAUGGCGAAGGCAGCCCCCUGGGCCUGUACUGACGCUCAUGCACGAAAGCGUGGGGAGCAAACAGGAUUAGAUACCCUGGUAGUCCACGCCCUAAACGAUGGGUACUAGCCGUUUGGUGCGCGAAAGCGCUGAGUGGCGAAGCUAACGCGUGAAGUCCCCCGCCUGGGGAGUACGGCCGCAAGGUUGAAACUUAAAGGAAUUGGCGGG
rnacentral:rRNA from 1 species